rnacentral:misc_RNA from 1 species
AAAGUGCGAUAUCUAAUGUGAUUUGCAUGAAUCUGUGAGUCAUCUAGUCUUUGAACGCACCUUGCACCCAGUGCGUAAGCUCUGGGUAUGCCUGUUUGAGAAUCGCAAACACCUUCAACCUUGGUCUAGGUUGGACUUGGUCUCCUAAUAGAGACUGAAAUGCAUUAGGAGCUUUAUAGGGCUUAUAGUGUGCCAGAGCAUCACUAGAUCCCUCUAAAAAACCUUUACUAUCUUUCUCUUUGAUCUCAAAUCAGGCAAGGCUACCCGCUGAACUUAA